GAAGGCACUGUAUGUCCAGAGGAAAUAAAUAAUUACAAAGGAAUGCAAAGUGCAAUUACACAUAUUUGAUAAUAACACAAUAUUCAUCAUCAGAUAAUGUACAGUGUAACUUUCUAAAGAAAAUAAUAUAUAUGCCUAUGUAAGCUAUUUCUCUGACCAUAGUUUCAAAUGUUUCGUAGCGUAUUGUGCUAAAGGCCUUUUAGCACUGGUAAAGGAUAAGAGUUGGUACAAAUACACCUCUCAUUUCCACCUUCCAGUUGUUUGUAUCCCUCCAGCUGACAAUAAUGCAGUAAACACCAGCCUGUACACACAGCCAACAGAGUAGAGGAUGUAUUGGCUCCACUAGCUCCAUAUCAGUUGUGUCAGGGGUUUUCUAGGAGAGGUGUCAGGGGUUUUCCAGCAGAUCCAUAGGAGUGUGUGUGUGUGUGUGUGUACAUGGGCGUCUGUGUGCAUGUUUAGUAUGCACUGGGCUCAGUCGCGCUUCACUGAGACACACCCCUUCUUCUUUCCCAUCAGUUUUGUUUCCAGAAAAGUCAGUCUGAGUUUCACUUCACAGGGGAGGUGGAGACUCAGGCUUUGUCUCUACCCUGCAGUAUAAAAUCCACCCACUGCUCACUCUCCUCAGUCCUGCAGUCCUCUGCUGAACGCCAUUAUGACGACCACAGAUGAGCAGGAUGAAGAGGAAGAUGAUGAUUAUGACGAAAAAUAUGAAGGUGGUUACAAAGACCAUGAUGAUGGUGGUGAAGAUUAUUAGUAUAAUGACUUUUUAUAGUGUACAGUCAGGCUACUCCCAAGGGUAGCACACCAGGUUCCUUUGGCCCUGCAUACGGCACAUACACUGUAGGCCAUGUGUGGGGCUGUGGAACCGGUGGGCAGAAGUCCACCUGAGGCACUGAAACAGGUCUUAAAACAAGGAGGCAGAACUCCUUCCAGAUGAGGAAGGACAUAACCUUUUAACCUUGAAGAAAAAAGACUAUCACUAUCACAACGCUAUUUGAAGCUAUGUGAAGGAAUUUCUGAGUGGCUCAGAACAUUUCAGGGUUGCUGGCCAAUGGUUAGGAUUGCAUAACUUACUAUAUGAGGAUAUUACGUUUGCAGAUAUCUUUUCAUUAAUGUAAGCUAUGCAUCUCACUGCUAAAUGAAGAAAAAGUGAGAAAACUCAUAAUGUGAAAGCAUACAGUUACAGGGCAUAAAUAACAUAACAAAAUAGUAUGUUUAUUAUCAUACCAUGUUUACUUGUGUUCUAUUUUUAACAUAGGUACUAUGUUAAAAUAUAACUAAGGAUUUCUGUCGCUUGGUUCUGUGGCUAUAAGGGAACAUUUGAGGGUAGUUGUUCAGGAUAAAAUGGUUAUGAUUGGAUAUAUUUUCAUACUGUGGUAUGAACAUAAUUUAUGGUGAUUACAUGUUCAUAUAUAAUGUAUAUGUAGAUACAACUAAAAAUCAAAGCCAAGCUAACAUCUACCUUCACUUGGAGCCACAUGUUGAACGUCCCUUCUUGUGUUUUAUUUGUUUUGAAAUAAAUGUUUUCUUUCAUUCUAA